CAACAUUGUCAAGUCGAGCGGAUGAGAGGAGCUUGCUCCUCGAUUCAGCGGCGGACGGGUGAGUAAUGCCUAGGAAUCUGCCUAGUAGUGGGGGACAACGUUUCGAAAGGAACGCUAAUACCGCAUACGUCCUACGGGAGAAAGUGGGGGAUCUUCGGACCUCACGCUAUUAGAUGAGCCUAGGUCGGAUUAGCUAGUUGGUAGGGUAAAGGCCUACCAAGGCGACGAUCCGUAACUGGUCUGAGAGGAUGAUCAGUCACACUGGAACUGAGACACGGUCCAGACUCCUACGGGAGGCAGCAGUGGGGAAUAUUGGACAAUGGGCGAAAGCCUGAUCCAGCCAUGCCGCGUGUGUGAAGAAGGCCUUCGGGUCGUAAAGCACUUUAAGUUGGGAGGAAGGGCUCAUAGCGAAUACCUGUGAGUUUUGACGUUACCAACAGAAUAAGCACCGGCUAACUUCGUGCCAGCAGCCGCGGUAAUACGAAGGGUGCAAGCGUUAAUCGGAAUUACUGGGCGUAAAGCGCGCGUAGGUGGCUUGAUAAGUUGGAUGUGAAAUCCCCGGGCUCAACCUGGGAACUGCAUCCAAAACUGUCUGGCUAGAGUGCGGUAGAGGGUAGUGGAAUUUCCAGUGUAGCGGUGAAAUGCGUAGAUAUUGGAAGGAACACCAGUGGCGAAGGCGACUACCUGGACUGACACUGACACUGAGGUGCGAAAGCGUGGGGGAGCAAACAGGAUUAGAUACCCUGGUAGUCCACGCCGUAAACGAUGUCAACUAGCCGUUGGGAUCCUUGAGAUCUUAGUGGCGCAGCUAACGCAUUAAGUUGACCGCCUGGGGAGUACGGCGCAAGGUUAAACUCAAAUGAAAUUGACGGGGCCCGCACAGCGUUGGAGCAUGUGGUUUAAAUCGAGCACGUCGAAGAACCUAACUUGUCUUGAACAUGCUGAGAACUUUCCAGAGAUGGAUUUGGUCUCUUCGGAAUCUCA
rnacentral:rRNA from 1 species